CAGCCGCCGCGGUAAUACGUAGGGUGCGAGCGUUGUCCGGAAUUACUGGGCGUAAAGAGCUCGUAGGCGGUUUGUCACGUCGUCUGUGAAAUCCUAGGGCUUAACCCUGGACGUGCAGGCGAUACGGGCUGACUUGAGUACUACAGGGGAGACUGGAAUUUCUGGUGUAGCGGUGGAAUGCACAGAUAUCAGGAAGAACACCGAUGGCGAAGGCAGGUCUCUGGGUAGUAACUGACGCGGAGGAGCGAAAGCAUGGGUAGCGAACAGGAUUAGAUACCCCCGUAGUCCCUGUCUCUUAUAC
rnacentral:rRNA from 1 species